rnacentral:rRNA from 1 species
GACGAACGCUGGCGGCGUGCUUAACACAUGCAAGUCGAACGGAAAGGCCCUGCUUUUGUGGGGUGCUCGAGUGGCGAACGGGUGAGUAACACGUGAGUAACCUGCCCUUGACUUUGGGAUAACUUCAGGAAACUGGGGCUAAUACCGGAUAGGAGCUCCUGCUGCAUGGUGGGGGUUGGAAAGUUUCGGCGGUUGGGGAUGGACUCGCGGCUUAUCAGCUUGUUGGUGGGGUAGUGGCUUACCAAGGCUUUGACGGGUAGCCGGCCUGAGAGGGUGACCGGCCACAUUGGGACUGAGAUACGGCCCAGACUCCUACGGGAGGCAGCAGUGGGGAAUAUUGCACAAUGGGCGGAAGCCUAAUGCAGCAACGCCGCAUGCGGGAUGACGGCCUUCGGGUUGUAAACCGCUUUCGCCUGUGACGAAGCGUGAGUGACGGUAAUGGGUAAAGAAGCACCGGCUAACUACGUG